rnacentral:rRNA from 1 species
GAUCAUGGCUCAGGAUGAACGCUGGCGGCGUGCUUAACACAUGCAAGUCGAACGGAGUUUUUAAGUGGAAGUUUCGGAUGGAAGUUAAAACUUAGUGGCGGACGGGUGAGUAACGCGUGGGUAACCUGCCUCAUACAGGGGGAUAACAGUUAGAAAUGACUGCUAAGACCGCAUAAUAUAGCGAAACCGCAUGAUUUUGCUAUCAAAUAUUUAUAGGUAUGAGAUGGGCCCGCGUCUGAUUAGCUAGUUGGUGGGGUAAAAGCCUACCAAGGCGACGAUCAGUAGCCGGCUUGAGAGAGUGACCGGCCACAUUGGGACUGAGACACGGCCCAAACUCCUACGGGAGGCAGCAGUGGGGAAUAUUGGACAAUGGGGGAAACCCUGAUCCAGCGAACCGCCGCGUGAGUGAAGAAGUAUUUCGGUAUGUAAAGCUCUAUCAGCAGGGAAGAUAAUGACAGUACCUGACUAAGAAGCCCCGGCUAACUACGUGCCAGCCGCUGC